UCCAGACUCCUACGGGAGGCAGCAGUGGGGAAUAUUGCACAAUGGGGGAAACCCUGAUGCAGCGACGCCGCGUGAGUGAAGAAGUAUUUCGGUAUGUAAAGCUCUAUCAGCAGGGAAGAAGAAGGACGGUACCUGAGUAAGAAGCCCCGGCUAACUACGUGCCAGCAGCCGCGGUAAUACGUAGGGGGCAAGCGUUAUCCGGAUUUACUGGGUGUAAAGGGAGCGUAGACGGCGAUGCAAGCCAGAUGUGAAAGCCCGGGGCUCAACCCCGGGACUGCAUUUGGAACUGUGUGGCUGGAGUGUCGGAGAGGCAGGCGGAAUUCCUAGUGUAGCGGUGAAAUGCGUAGAUAUUAGGAGGAACACCAGUGGCGAAGGCGGCCUGCUGGACGAUGACUGACGUUGAGGCUCGAAAGCGUGGGGAGCAAACAGGAUUAGAUACCCCUGUA
rnacentral:rRNA from 1 species